rnacentral:rRNA from 1 species
GGAUCAGUGGCGAACGGGUGAGUAACACGUGAGCAACCUAGCACCCUGACUCUGGGAUAAGCGCUGGAAACGGCGUCUAAUACUGGAUAUGAACCACAGUCGCAUGGCUCGUGGUUGGAAAGAUUUUUUGGUUGGGGAUGGGCUCGCGGCCUAUCAGCUUGUUGGUGAGGUAAUGGCUCACCAAGGCGUCGACGGGUAGCCGGCCUGAGAGGGUGACCGGCCACACUGGGACUGAGACACGGCCCAGACUCCUACGGGAGGCAGCAGUGGGGAAUAUUGCACAAUGGGCGCAAGCCUGAUGCAGCAACGCCGCGUGAGGGACGACGGCCUUCGGGUUGUAAACCUCUUUUAGCAAGGAAGAAGCGAAAGUGACGGUACUUGCAGAAAAAGCGCCGGCUAACUACGUGCCAGCAGCCGCGGUAAUACGUAGGGCGCAAGCGUUAUCCGGAAUUAUUGGGCGUAAAGAGCUCGUAGGCGGUUUGUCGCGUCUGCUGUGAAAUCCCGAGGCUCAACCUCGGGUCUGCAGUGGGUACGGGCAGACUAGAGUGCGGUAGGGGAGAUUGGAAUUCCUGGUGUAGCGGUGGAAUGCGCAGAUAUCAGGAGGAACACCGAUGGCGAAGGCAGAUCUCUGGGCCGUAACUGACGCUGAGGAGCGAAAGGGUGGGGAGCAAACAGGCUUAGAUACCCUGGUAGUCCACCCCGUAAACGUUGGGAACUAGUUGUGGGGUCCUUUCCACGGAUUCCGUGACGCAGCUAACGCAUUAAGUUCCCCGCCUGGGGAGUACGGCCGCAAGGCUAAAACUCAAAGGAAUUGACGGGGACCCGCACAAGCGGCGGAGCAUGCGGAUUAAUUCGAUGCAACGCGAAGAACCUUACCAAGGCUUGACAUACACGAGAAC